CACACACACACACUGUGAUCGCUUGUGAUGCGAGACCUGGCAACUGUGAUGUCCCGUUCUGUCGACAGCAAGUGGCAAAACGGCAGAUGGCGAGAAACGGCUCC